rnacentral:rRNA from 1 species
AUUGAACGCUGGCGGCAUGCCUUACACAUGCAAGUCGAACGGCAGCAUGAUCUAGCUUGCUAGAUUGAUGGCGAGUGGCGCACGGGUGAGUCAUACAUCGGAACGUGCCCUGUAGUGGGGGAUAACUAGUCGAAAGAUUAGCUAAUACCGCAUACGACCUGAGGGUGAAAGUGGGGGACCGCAAGGCCUCAUGCUAUAGGAGCGGCCGAUGUCUGAUUAGCUAGUUGGUGAGGUAAAGGCUCACCAAGGCGACGAUCAGUAGCUGGUCUGAGAGGACGAUCAGCCACACUGGGACUGAGACACGGCCCAGACUCCUACGGGAGGCAGCAGUGGGGAAUUUUGGACAAUGGGCGAAAGCCUGAUCCAGCAAUGCCGCGUGUGUGAAGAAGGCCUUCGGGUUGUAAAGCACUUUUGUCCGGAAAGAAAUGGCUCUGGUUAAUACCUGGGGUCGAUGACGGUACCGGAAGAAUAAGGACCGGCUAACUACGUG